AUUAUGCAGCCCUAAGAAAGGAGGAUGUCCUGCCAUUUGCAACAACAUGGAUGGACCGAGUGGAUACUGAAGCGCUGAUACUGAAGUGCCUUACCCAAAUCACACACUUGAUCAGUGGCCAGCACUGACACUGAGGCAGGCUGAUCCCAGAGUCGACUUCGUUGUGAAGACUAAAAGCUAUCAACUCUAUAAGGUGCCAUAAUAUAUGGAAGAUGCCAGUCAGAUUGACAAUGAAUCUCAAGGGUUGUUGUGAAAGCCAAGGAAAACAAAGAAAUGAAGAAUUCCACGUUUUCUGGCAUGAUUAAAGGAAAGGCAGCAAUACAUCCAAGUAUUCAGAAAAAUCAAAACUUGGCAGAUGAAAACAGUCCUUUAAACCAAGAGUAUUAAUACCACCACUGGAUGUGUAUUUCUUCCCCCACCCAUGGCUUUGGCUUUUGUCACUAAUUGAUUAUUUUUUAACAGAUGAAUACACACAUAAUAAAGAUGACUUUGGAAUAAUAAGAAAUAAAGAUUCAUGCAGAGAACCAGGAUUUAAUCACAAACUGGCAAUAUAACAGAACCUUCAUUUCCAGAAUGCAACUAUCACAUCAUUAACUUGUAAACACUGCUAAUACAAUUCUUUUAAAC